rnacentral:lncRNA from 1 species
CAGCAAGAAAUGAAAGCCGUGAAUUCUACAGGUAUCUCAGAGUCUGGAAUUCUUUAGAAGGGGUUCACAUGAGACACCGAGGGACUGGUGGCUGCGAUCCUCAACGGUGUCAUUUUUAUACAGGGUUGGUGGUAAUAAUUUUUUUCCUGGUGCUGAAGAUCAAACCUCCUAGAGCCAAAGAAAAACCUCGAGUGGAGACGAUGAGGUGGACAGGCACCAAGAUCACUGUGCAUGUGACUUUGCUGCACCGUCAGCGGACAAGAUCCAGUAUCUGAGCAGGGAGAGGAUGCGGACUCACUGCAGUUCCUCGGAAAACCCUCUCCUGUGCACAGUCUAAUGAGGCUAGCUCCGAAGCGACAUUUGAGAGGACAGUGAGCAGAGAAGGGUCAUGACCCCAGAUGGCCUCACGGCAGCCCCGACCAGAAACCUGAGGUGACUCCAGGCCACCAUGUUCCACGUUACUCGACACACACCUCCAACUCCUGCGUACCCCCAUCCAUGGCAGAGGGGCUGAAAGACUGAUAGCCUAUAUUAUUUACCAGAUUAUAAGAAACCACAGCUUCAAUUUAUUGUGUAUGAUCUGUAAUGCCAAAAACUGUUGUUUAUCCAGUAUAUCUGAUACAAAAUUUAAAUUGUUUUUUUGUUUGUUUGUUUGUUUGUUUUGGUACCGGGGAUCAAACUUGGGAACUUGCGCUUGCAAGGCAGGUGACGACACCACUGAGCUAAAUCCUCAGCCCCAAAAUUAAAAUUGUUAUGGAAUAAG